CGCUCCCUGCGGUGUUCGAGGCUGGUUGCAAUUUCUCUGAACCAAUGCAUACGUGCAAGGCUGCGCUCAUGUGCCCAAAGCGCCUUUGAUUGCGGCCGUCUUGAACCCAGGUUCAAGAGUCCGCAGCCAGUCACGGCACAGGCGGGGAGCCC
rnacentral:other from 1 species